rnacentral:rRNA from 3 species
AGCAACAAAUGCCCUGCUUCCAGGAAAAGCCUCUAAGCAUCAGGUAACAUCAAAUCGUACCCCAAACCGACACAGGUGGUCAGGUAGAGAAUACCAAGGCGCUUGAGAGAACUCGGGUGAAGGAACUAGGCAAAAUGGUGCCGUAACUUCGGGAGAAGGCACGCUGACACGUAGGUGAAGUGAUUUACUCAUGGAGCUGAAGUCAGUCGAAGAUACCAGCUGGCUGCAACUGUUUAUUAAAAACACAGCACUGUGCAAACACGAAAGUGGACGUAUACGGUGUGACGCCUGCCCGGUGCCGGAAGGUUAAUUGAUGGGGUCAGCGCAAGCGAAGCUCCUGAUCGAAGCCCCGGUAAACGGCGGCCGUAACUAUAACGGUCCUAAGGUAGCGAAAUUCCUUGUCGGGUAAGUUCCGACCUGCACGAAUGGCGUAAUGAUGGCCAGGCUGUCUCCACCCGAGACUCAGUGAAAUUGAACUCGCUGUGAAGAUGCAGUGUACCCGCGGCAAGACGGAAAGACCCCGUGAACCUUUACUAUAGCUUGACACUGAACAUUGAGCCUUGAUGUGUAGGAUAGGUGGGAGGCUUUGAAGUGUGGACGCCAGUCUGCAUGGAGCCGACCUUGAAAUACCACCCUUUAAUGUUUGAUGUUCUAACGUGGACCCGUGAUCCGGGUUGCGGACAGUGUCUGGUGGGUAGUUUGACUGGGGCGGUCUCCUCCUAAAGAGUAACGGAGGAGCACGAAGGUUGGCUAAUCCUGGUCGGACAUCAGGAGGUUAGUGCAAUGGCAUAAGCCAGCUUGACUGCGAGCGUGACGGCGCGAGCAGGUGCGAAAGCAGGUCAUAGUGAUCCGGUGGUUCUGAAUGGAAGGGCCAUCGCUCAACGGAUAAAAGGUACUCCGGGGAUAACAGGCUGAUACCGCCCAAGAGUUCAUAUCGACGGCGGUGUUUGGCACCUCGAUGUCGGCUCAUCACAUCCUGGGGCUGAAGUAGGUCCCAAGGGUAUGGCUGUUCGCCAUUUAAAGUGGUACGCGAGCUGGGUUUAGAACGUCGUGAGACAGUUCGGUCCCUAUCUGCCGUGGGCGCUGGAGAACUGAGGGGGGCUGCUCCUAGUACGAGAGGACCGGAGUGGACGCAUCACUGGUGUUCGGGUUGUCAUGCCAAUGGCACUGCCCGGUAGCUAAAUGCGGAAGAGAUAAGUGCUGAAAGCAUCUAAGCACGAAACUUGCCCCGAGAUGAGUUCUCCCUGAGACUUUAAGUCUCCUGAAGGAACGUUGAAGACGACGACGUUGAUAGGCCGGGUGUGUAAGCGCAGCGAUGCGUUGAGCUAACCGGUACUAAUGAACCGUGAGGCUUAACCUUACA